rnacentral:rRNA from 1 species
UCAACGGAGAGUUUGAUCCUGGCUCAGGACGAACGCUGGCGGCGUGCUUAACACAUGCAAGUCGAACGAGACAUCGGCCUUCGGGUCGAUGCCGAGUGGCGAACGGGUGAGUAACACGUGAGAAACCUGCCCCGGAGACUGGGAUAACCAGGGGAAACCCUGGCUAAUACCGGAUACCCCCGGAUGGUCGCAUGGCCAACCGAGGAAAUGUUCCGGCGCUCUGGGAGGGUCUCGCGGCCUAUCAGCUAGUUGGCGGGGUAACGGCCCACCAAGGCAUCGACGGGUAGCUGGUCUGAGAGGACGAUCAGCCACACUGGGACUGAGACACGGCCCAGACUCCUACGGGAGGCAGCAGUGGGGAAUAUUGCGCAAUGGGCGAAAGCCUGACGCAGCAACGCCGCGUGGGGGAUGACUGCCUUCGGGUUGUAAACCCCUUUCAGCAGGGACGAAAAUGACGGUACCUGCAGAAGAAGCCCCGGCCAACUACGUGCCAGCAGCCGCGGUAACACGUAGGGGGCGAGCGUUGUCCGGAUUUAUUGGGCGUAAAGAGCUCGUAGGCGGUUGCGUAAGUCGGAUGUGAAAACUCAGGGCUCAACCCGGAGACGCCAUCCGAUACUGCGCUGACUAGAGUCCGGUAGAGGAGCAUGGAAUUCCUGGUGUAGCGGUGAAAUGCGCAGAUAUCAGGAGGAACACCUACAGCGAAGGCAGUGCUCUGGGCCGGUACUGACGCUGAGGAGCGAAAGCGUGGGUAGCGAACAGGAUUAGAUACCCUGGUAGUCCACGCCGUAAACGUUGGGCACUAGGUGUGGGGCCUACUUAACGGGUUCCGCGCCGUAGCUAACGCAUUAAGUGCCCCGCCUGGGGAGUACGGCCGCAAGGCUAAAACUCAAAGGAAUUGACGGGGGCCCG